CACACGGCAAGCGGGUGUUUUAUUUCUGUUGUGUGGAACAGAAGUGAAAGGAAUGUGUGGUUAGGGUUGCCUAUAGUGCUGCCAACUUGCAAAAUGGCUGAAAAGCUUCUAGAAGACUAAAAACUUUCAAAAAACAAAUAAAAAUAGAAGUGGUUAAAACACUUCCCUGGACGUAAACAUAAACACUGAUCUUGUAUCUUCUGUGUUGAAUGCAAAAUUCCAGUUUCUACUCAGAGUUGCGCCGUGUGGCAACAUAAUUAUACACAAAGCUCCAUUUGGCUGAUGUAGCGCGCAUUGACGGCUCCAGGUCGAAAGGGUGAAAGCAGACCUGGAACUUCUACGUGGCGGCGCAGCUCUUCCGGUUACUGUCAUACAUCAAGCCGCUUAUUAAGUGCCACUACGUGUGAGCCCAAUUAAUCUAAGCGGCCCACAUGCCUAAUUGCUGUCAUAAUAACAACCAACGAGCAAAGAUUAUGCAAAAUGUAUUAUUCUGAUUGAGUUGAGUUUAAUAUUCUUAGUAUUUGUAUACUUAAUACACUUAGUAUAUAAAUGUUGUUCUAUUCCUUUGGUGAGUGAGAAUUAAACGUUCUCUAUUUUUGAAGUAGAAUUAGUUUUGUACGUUUAUGGAGUAGUAAACUAAGCAAUGCACUUAUCCAACCUACGUGACAUUGACGUGUCAACGCUGCGUCAAAGCCAUCAAAGUCAAGGUAUAUUUGAGGAAAAAAUCGUAAAGUCAUCAAUGUAAAGUUUGCGUUUGGUGCACGGAGGAAUGAAGUGGGUUGUAAAAGCAGGAGGAAAUUAGAAAUUGUAAAGAAUGUGCUAAAAAUAAAAUGCUUGUCCUAGGUU